AUUGAACGCUGGCGGCGUGCUUAACACAUGCAAGUCGAGCGGUAACAGGUGUAGCAAUACAUGCUGACGAGCGGCGAACGGGUGAGUAAUGCUUCGGAAUCUUCCUAGUAGUGGGGAAUAACCUGGGGAAACUCAGGCUAAUACCGCAUCCGAACUACGGUUGAAAGCAGGGGAUCGCAAGACCUUGCGCUAUUAGAUGAGCCGAAGUCGGAUUAGCUAGUUGGUGAGGUAACGGCUCACCAAGGCGACGAUCCGUAGCUGGUCUGAGAGGACGACCAGCCACAAGGGGACUGAGACACGGCCCAGACUCCUACGGGAGGCAGCAGUGGGGAAUAUUGGACAAUGGGGGCAACCCUGAUCCAGCGACGCCGCGUGUGUGAAGAAGGCCUGCGGGUUGUAAAGCACUUUUAGUGGGGACAAAAAGCCGAGGGCUAAUACUCUUCGGUCUUGAUUUAACCCAAAGAAAAAGCACCGGCUAACUCUGUGCCAGCCGCCGCGGUAAAAC
rnacentral:rRNA from 1 species